GUGCUCGCUUCAGGAGCACAUAUACAAAAAUUGGAACGAUACGGAGAAGAUUAGCAUGGCCCCUGCACAGGAUGGCACACAAAUCCAAGUACUGGGAUUAU
ensembl:snRNA U6 U6 spliceosomal RNA